GCCAGUGUGGUGUAGUGGUUUGACACUGGACUAUGACUCUGCAGGCCAGAGUUCGAAUCUUGGCUUGGCCA